CCAUGUCCUCUCCUGGCCCCGCCUCCACAGAGAAAGACUCCGCCCCUAAGCCUGCUGAUAGGCCGCAGGGUGCUGUGAUGUCGCCAGGUAGCCAUGAUGACAACAACAACAACGGCAACAACACGAACAGCAGCAGCAGCAGCAGUCCUGUAGAAAAAGUGGCCGCUGUGUAAAAGAAAUGGCCUCGUCUCCACAGAGAAAGACUCCGCCCCUAAGCCUGCUGAUAGGCCGCAGAGUGCUGUGAUGUCACCAGCAGCAGCAGCAGCGGUCCUGUAGAAAAAAUGGCCGCCGUGUAAAAAAGUGUCUCCUCUUCACCCGUGUACAGUUUUCUGUUUUUCAUUGUUUGUUUUGAUCGUCGUCUCUUCAGAUUGUCCCUCACCAGCACCUGUAGCAUUUGUCCACAUACCCACAAUGCCAUUCUGCAGCCGCCAGCAGCUCUUCUGAUUGGUCGAAUAUCUGACAUCACGUCGCCUGGAGCGUAUGUUCAUGUCCAGGUGGUGGCUUAGCCAAUGAGAUGUCGGAGCUCCAGCAAUAAAAACAUUCUCACUCAGCUGUGAUGUGAUUGGUCCCCCCCACCGACAGACAGGGCUUGGUGAUUGGUUGAAAAAAAGGCAGCUAUAGUUUCUAUUGGACUCUUCUUCAAGCCCUGCCUCCCUGGGAAGGCCUGGCCAAUCGGUGCACAUCUCUCAGAGGUGGUGCAUUGUGGGACAUGGAGUCACAGCAGGUUAGUUAGGUCGUUAACGGAAAGGCGGCAGAAUAAUGAAAGUGAGAGAACAGGCGGGACUCGAACCGGUCAGAGAGGACGGAUGUCUUUUUUUAACUUGUGUUUCAGAGUCAUGAGAAGUGAAUCAGACAGGACUCUGUUUAAUCACAACAUAAACAACGCUUUCUUCCCCGUUCCACUCUAAAUAUUCACUUUGUAGCUACUGUUGCACUGCACACAAUGAAAUCACAUGAUUGACCACAAGGGGAUGAUGACAAAUUAAGACAAUUUAAAUUCAUCUUUCUCAACGUCUACCUUUUUACUUUUCUGAAACCACCCUUAAUUUCGUGCUUCAUAUUGGACAAUAUGAGGUCCUCUGGUUGGCAGACUCCUCACACUGUCUUCUGAUUGGUCCACUGUCUCCGGUCGCUGUCCUCUGAUUGGCUGACGGUCUCCGGGCUGUUUCCGAGGGACUUUCACAGCACGCUGUCCUCUGAUUUGCUGACUGUGUUCAGAAACUGUCCUGAUUGGCUGACUGUGUUCAGAAACUGUCCUCUGAUUGGCUGACUGUGUUCAGAAACUGUCCUCUGAUUGGCUGACUGUGUUCAGAAACUGUCCUGAUUGGCUGACUGUGUUCAGAAACUGUCCUCUGAUUGGCUGACUGUGUUCAGAAACUGUCCUCUGAUUGGCUGACUGUGUUCAGAAACUGUCCUCUGAUUGGCUGACUGUGUUCAGAAACUAUCCUCUGAUUGGCUGUCUGACUCCGGGCUCUCUCCUCUGAUUGGGUCACUGUCUCUGGGAGCUGUCCUCUGAUUGGCUGACUGUAGAUACUGUACAGUUAAACUGAUAUGAAGUCUGUUGAUAUUUUGCUCAUCUGCUGUUAAAUUGAUUGAAAAAACAAAUGUCAUUGUUAUUUUUUAUUUGAUUUAAUUGAACAUUUUUAAAAAGAGAUGGAAAAGUGUUGAUACAGUCUAUGAUAGUUUGUUUUAAACUAAACCAAAGUGUUAUUAAGAAUCUAUAUGACCUUGUAUGUAAAAGUAGAAGUGUGUGUGUGCGUCAGUCUAACAGCAUUAUUUUUAUAACUCUCCGCCCGUCUCUCUGUUUUUAUGCUUUGUCGUUAUUUGGGUUUUUGUUGUGCAUGAAACCUUUUGGACAAAAUCAUCCUGAAUGUUUCUCAGAUGGGUUUUUGCCGCUGCGCCAACAACAUGAGCUGGAAACCAGAUCCCCAUCGUCUCUAACCCGUGUAAUGACUCAGCAGAGCGGGUAGUAACACAUGCUGUAUGUCCUAACCACUGAUGUGUUCUAGAGACAUGCUGCUGACCUCAUUGGAUCCUUCCAGUGAAAUGGACUCUGAUGUUUGACAUGGUUGUUGAUGAAGACAUCGUGGGUGUGUUGAUGAAGACAUCGUGGGUGUGUUGAUGAACACAUCGUGGGUGUGUUGAUGAACACAUCGUGGGUGUGUUGAUGAACACAUCGUGGGUGUGUUGAUGAACACAUCGUGGGUGUGUUGAUGAACACAUCGUGGGUGUGUUGAUGAACACAUCGUGGGUGUGUUGAUGAACACAUCGUGGGUGUGUUGAUGAACACAUCGUGGGUGUGUUGAUGAACACAUCGUGGGUGUGUUGAUGAAGACAUCGUGGGUGUGUUGAUGAACACAUCGUGGGUGGUUAUUACAUAUUGCAUGUGUUAUUACAAUGUAAUCAAAUAAAAUGCAACUCCCACAUUUUU